rnacentral:rRNA from 1 species
UGGGCCUUCGGCCUUAGUAGCGCAGCUAACGCGUGAAGUUGACCGCCUGGGGAGUACGGUCGCAAGAUUAAAACUCAAAGGAAUUGACGGGGACCCGCACAAGCGGUGGAUGAUGUGGAUUAAUUCGAUGCAACGCGAAAAACCUUACCUACCCUUGACAUGUCUGGAAUCCCGAAGAGAUUUGGGAGUGCUCGCAAGAGAACCGGAACACAGGUGCUGCAUGGCUGUCGUCAGCUCGUGUCGUGAGAUGUUGGGUUAAGUCCCGCAACGAGCGCAACCCUUGUCAUUAGUUGCUACGAAAGGGCACUCUAAUGAGACUGCCGGUGACAAACCGGAGGAAGGUGGGGAUGACGUCAAGUCCUCAUGGCCCUUAUGGGUAGGGCUUCACACGUCAUACAAUGGUCGGGACAGAGGGUUGCCAACCCGCGAGGGGGAGCUAAUCUCAUAAACCCGAUCGUAGUCCGGAUUGCAGUCUGCAACUCGACUGCAUGAAGUCGGAAUCGCUAGUAAUCGCGGAUCAGCAUGUCGCGGUGAAUACGUUCCCGGGUCUUGUACACACCGCCCGUCACACCAUGGGAGUGGGUUUCACCAGAAGUAGUUAGCCUAACCGCAAGGGGGGCGAUUACCACGGUGGGAUUCAUGACUGGGGUGAAGUCGUAACAAGGUAGCCGUAUCGGAAGGUGC